GUCCAACUCUCUCUACGAACAAGCAUUUUCCUCCUUUAACUUUGGUAGUGCCCUGUAGGAGAGAGGCUUCAGGAGAAAUGAUAGAGGCUGUUGCUGUCAGAAUCAAGUGCAAACGGCAACCUGUAAAUUCCAAUGAGCAUGUGCACAUUUUAUUGGUAUUUAUUCAGGAGACAUUCCAGGAGGCAGAAGUCACCUCCACCGCCCCCACCGCUCUUCCCACUGUAGGGCAGAGCACGUAUUAAGAAGAAUCUCAGGUAAAUGUUUAACAAGAUGGUCUAGUUUGCACUUUGUAGGCUUCACUGAUGAAGUAAGUGGUAGUUUUUAGCUAAAACAACCUCAUUGUUUGCACAAGUGUUCUGCUUGAGUUUUCUAGGGUCAUUAGAUCUAACUGCCUCCUUUACCUGCUGUUUGAACUGGUUGAGCCUGUGGAGGGACAGAAAACAAAAGAGGGGUGUUGAAAUGCAAAUACACAGCUCUGGGUUCCAGUCCCUGGCUGCAAAAUAGAGCUACCGCUGACAUCACCAUCUCCUCGGAGGCCUGCGGAAGGCUCUAGAAAAGUCUCACAGGAUGUAUUUCUUUUCAUGGACUGGAAUCCCAAGGUGCUGGGGAUAGAAGGCGAACAAGAAAGCCAACAUCUAGGGAGGACACUGUUCCGGAAUGAGGCAAGUAGAGGGGGCUUUGCACCGUGCAGAAGCCUGUCCUUCCCAACUGGGUCCCCGGAGAAUGGGCUGUCGGUCUCAGCUCAAGUGUCACCUACUCAGCAGGCCUUACCUGAGCCCUGGAGCCAGCGUGGGCCUCCCCCAGGCCCUCAGCCGCCUGCUGCCUGCCACCUGCCCCCGUUCACUGGAGCCUUAAAAGGCCCCCGGGGUGCUGCCCGGGAUGUUGUGGGCUCUUGGGGCAUGUUUGUUGAAUGGCUCUUUGUUUCUGAUGAACCUGAGCCAGAGCUUCCAUUCUGAAUGACCUAAUCGCUGUUGUGGCUCCUGCUGACAGGCCUACGAACAGUGCCCCCUAAGGUGCCGUUCCCAGGGGUUCAGCUGUGGUCCCACGACUCAUGCAUGAAUCUCUUGUAGCUCUGACCCCGAACAACCAUUCAUAAAAGAAAACCUUCAGGCCCCCCAAGCUCACCAGGCCCCCCAAGUUCAGCAGCAGACCCACCGCCCUGCCUUGCAGGCCAAGCUCCUCUUCCGUGUCCCCAGCCUGGCCGAAGGUGCCCCCACCCACCUGCUUAGGAACCGUGCGGACAGCCUGCGUGCUUCCCUCACUUACCCUCCAUCUGCAGCCAGCCAGCCACCAUGUGCCCGCAAGGAACUUGCCCGCGAGCCCAGCUAGAGGCCUGCAGCUGGCAGUCUGCCACCUGGCUGCAAAGCUCACACCCCGAACCUCAGAAGUUUCUCCAGUGAGGUGCCCCCUCUCGCCCCAGGACCACGGCUUGAGUCUGGAGGGGGCUUUGGCCCGAUAGUUACACCAGCAUUCCCCUGAUCUUCAGACCCUGCACCUUCCAUGUAGGCUGAUCUCCACCCUGUAGCAAGCGUCAUCUUCCUAAAAUUCAAACCCUGUCCUAUUUGUGCAUGAAAACUACUCUUGGUUCCCUUACUAUCUCUUAAAGCCUAAAUUCCUCAUGGAGCGUGGAAUCCCCUUCUUGGUCUUUUCCUGGCCUCUGCCCCUGCCCCUCCGUUGCUCCCCCAGCUGCACCUGGGCAGUGUGGUCCCCCGCUGGGCCAGGCCGGCUCGGCUCGUGCCGCUCUGGGCCUAGAGCACCCUGUCCCCUGUGCUCGGGGAGAUCCUUUCAUCCUCGGCACCAAGCCACAUCCUCUGUGAAGGCUCUCAGAGAGGGCCCCCGGCCGCCCGCCCCCCGCCGCACCUCACAGAGCACGCAGCCCCCGUACUUUGGGGGAAUGCAUUUCUGAAUCCGACGUGCAGAGACGUGCGGUCAGAGAGCCACAGUGUGCGCCUGAGGACAACGGGACAGACGACUGUCGAGGUCCAGGGGACCCUCGCAGAGAUGAUUCCUUGGCCUCUCCACCACCCGGCAAGGGGCAGGGGGCCUGUCCAAGACAGGGGGCCGCUUCUCCUCCUCUCUGCCCGGUGCCUGGCAAGACGCCCACCCCAGUGUUCGCAGAAGGUGUGAAGGUUGCACCAGGCCAGAGAGCCCGUACCACGUGAACAGGUUCGUACCUGACGUGUGCAUUCCUCCGAGGAAGCCACCGGCUCGGCCCACAUCUUGGCCUCGUCGCUGGAACGCUGCUCGCAGCCCGCACGCCCUCCUCUGUACAGUGGGGAGCGAGUAGCUCCUCCGGGGCUGCCGCGAAGACCGUGGGGGUGGCCUGAAGGCCACGGGUGGCGCAGGGCCUGGCCCAGGCGGCUUUGCUUCUGGCGCAAAGAUAUGUGUAGCUCUUCAUGAUAAACAGGAACUGGGAGGCAAGGUCACAUCCUAAAAUAACUUUAAAGUCAGGAUUUCUUUGGGACUUUUAAAAGUUAACACAAUUAAGAAUGUUCCUAGUAUUUAAUAACUACGAUUACGUACAAAGACCACUCUCCUGUAUUUUAGAGUAUCUGACUUUCCUCCUGUACGGUUUGCAGGUGGCCUGGGGUGGGGGGUGUGACUGAGUUUUGCAGCAGCUUGGGUUUGAUCAGCUCUGUCGGACCCCUCGCCCCCACACGAAAGGAAGCCGUUGGGUGAGUGUUUGCCCGAUGCCUGGGCCCCGCCUCGCACCUACUGAAUCAGAACUGGGGGCAGGAAGGGGUCUGUGUAUCAGCGUUUAGGAAAACCUCCCCCUGUGGUUCUGAUCAUCUGCAAGGUUUGGGAACCUGGAGUGCCUACACCACUAGAAAAGCAUAGGGCUCGAAUUUCUCAUUUCCUCGGCCUUACAGUCUUUGUAAUAAAAAAAAAAAAGAGUUGAUUUGCCUUUUUUGUAAACGACCUGAGUUUUCUCAGGGCCGGUUUUACCCUCACAGUGGGCUAUUUAUCCUGCUAGUGGGAAAACCUGGCUGCCCUGAAACAAUAGGAGAAGGCGCAAGCUUUACCAGCCUCCCCACGUUUUUAACAUCAGUGAAGUAUUUCCUCCGUGUCCUGCUGGGGCCAUUUAAAUGCUAAUGGAGUUAAAUGCAACAGUCUUUUUAGGAAUCCAACUCAACUGUUUAUAUGACAAUCUUAUUUUUUCUUCAUUCUAUAUUUGUCCUUUAUUUUUAAAUUUUUUUCCUGGAGAGCCAUAUGUUUACAUUCUUUGGUGUUUCAAACCUUCAAGAAGAAGAAUAAAAAUCCCAUCCUGACAGCUUCUCAGCAGCACUUGGAAGAGGCGGGGAAUGCAGGCACCCUCGAAAUUUGAAGUCUGCAGCUUGAAUGUGCUGAGUCACCGAGUCUUUGCAGAGUCAAAACAAUUUGCACCCAGGAAAAGUACAGCUGAAAAUUAAACUCUCUCCUAGUCGGCGGCGGGGGGAGAAUGUGAGCCCAGGCAGAGUCACUGCAACGCCCCGGGGUCGCUGCGGAGAGGGCCUCUCCGCCCAGAGAACGCCUGCUCCCCGGGGCGUCAUCAGGCCGGCGUUCCCGCUGCUCACAUUUAGAUUGGCCAUAACGCAAUGACUUGGAAUUAAAAGAAUCAGUAAAAAUGCCCUGAGCUCACUGCCCUCCAUUCGACUCUGCCUAGAGCUGGAAGUGGGCUGACUUCGCUGCCCGUAGAGUCAGAGUCUGCGCAGGGGCAGAACCGGGACGCGGGGGCAGAACCGGGACGCGGGCG